rnacentral:rRNA from 1 species
GCAUGCCGCGUGAGUGAAGAAGGCCUUCGGGUUGUAAAGCUCUUUUGUCAGGGAAGAAACACCGGCUCUAACACAGUCCGGGAAUGACGGUACCUGAAGAAUAAGCACCGGCUAACUACGUGCCAGCAGCCGCGGUAAUACGUAGGGUGCGAGCGUUAAUCGGAAUUACUGGGCGUAAAGCGUGCGCAGGCGGUUAUACAAGACAGGCGUGAAAUCCCCGGGCUUAACCUGGGAAUGGCGCCUGUGACUGUAUAGCUAGAGUGUGUCAGAGGGGGGUAGAAUUCCACGUGUAGCAGUGAAAUGCGUAGAUAUGUGGAGGAAUACCAAUGGCGAAGGCAGCCCCCUGGGAUAACACUGACGCUCAUGCACGAAAGCGUGGGGAGCAAACAGGAUUAGAUACCCUGGUAGUCCACGCCCUAAACGAUGCUGACUAGUUGUUCGGGAUUUACAUCCUGAGUAACGUAGCUAACGCGUGAAGUCAGCCGCCUGGGGAGUACGGUCGCAAGAUUAAAACUCAAAGGAAUUGACGGGGACCCGCACAAGCGGUGGAUGAUGUGGAUUAAUUCGAUGCAACG